AAUUGAUAUUAUUAAGCCCAACAUUAACCAACAAAAACAUGUUAACCACAAAUAUGUAACACUGACACAAGGCAGGAUUACUCUCACCAGUAAAAGGAACACUCCAAGCACCAUAACUACUCCGCUUGUUGUGCCAUGAAUGCCUCGGUGCCCUCCAAAAGAAAUGCGUUAAACUGUUUUAAUCAGUUUGACACCUUUCCUUGGGUUUGCACC